AGGCUUGCCUGGCAGGGGAGAUACCAUGACCAGUUUUCCCAGGGCAAGGCUUUCCCACUGCCCUGCGGAUGUGCCGACCCCUGUGGUUUCCCCAAACGUGAGAAACUCAACUGCAUAAUUUGUGUUAGUGGGGAACUGCGUUUGCGCUCUCCCCUG